UUCCCUGUGGCUCAGUUGGUAGAGCAUGGUGUUUGCCAUGCCAGCAUGGUGUGUGCAACGCCAGGGUUGUGGGUUCGAUUCCCACAGGGGGGC
rfam:Salmo salar isolate Sally breed double haploid chromosome ssa22, whole genome shotgun sequence.